GAUGAACGCUAGCGGCAGGCUUAAUACAUGCAAGUCGAGGGACAGCACAGGUAGCAAUACUGGGUGGUAACCGGCAAACGGGUGCGGAACACGUACACAACCUUCCUUUAAGUGGGGGAUAGCCCAGAGAAAUUUGGAUUAAUACCCCGUAAUAUAGUUGAAUGGCAUCAUUUGAUUAUUAUAGCUACGGCGCUUAAUGAUGGGUGUGCGGCUGAUUAGAUGGUUGGCGGUGUAACGGCCCACCAAGUCUACGAUCAGUGGCUGAUGUGAGGGAAUGAUCAGCGAGACGUGCAACGAGACACGGGCCCGACUCCUACGGGAGGCAGCAGUAAGGAAUAUUGGUAAAGGGACGCAAGUCUGAACCAGCCAUGCCGCGUGAAGGAUUAAGGUCCUCUGGAUUGUAAACUUCUUUUAUUUGGGACGAAAAAGGGCCUUUCUAGGUCAACUGACGGUACCAGAUGAAUAAGCACCGGCUAGCUCCGUGCCAGCCGCCGCGGUAACAC
rnacentral:rRNA from 1 species